UACGAAGGGGGCAAGCGUUGUUCGGAAUUAUUGGGCGUAAAGGGCGCGUAGGCGGUGCGGUAAGUCACCUGUGAAACCUCUGGGCUCAACUCAGAGCCUGCAGGCGAAACUGCCGUGCUGGAGUGUGGGAGAGGUGCGUGGAAUUCCUGGUGUAGCGGUGAAAUGCGCAGAUAUCAGGAAGAACACCCGUGGCUAAGGCGGUUCUCUAGUACGGUACUGACGCUGAGACGCGAAAGCGUGGGGAGCGAACAGG
rnacentral:rRNA from 1 species